rnacentral:lncRNA from 1 species
GUGUCACAAGUGUUCAGUCUGUCGACACACAUAUAUUCAUCAUCAUUACAGUCAGAUGGAAAUAAAAUAGUGAGUUUGUCUCAAUUAUUUCGCCUUCACAAAUGUGUAUGACUGGAGAGCCUUUUUUACUCUACAAGGGAAUACAGGGAUGUGAAAAUUGUUGCAAUUCUUCUGAUCUAAUAAAACGUCAUGACACCAAAACUGAUCUCCUUCUAAACAUUCUUCAAACUGUCAAAGUGACCACCUCAAUUAUCGGUUGCUAUUAUUUUUACAUACUGGUAGCUCAUAUUUUAUGCAUCCUUAUCUAUAUAACAUAAUAUAUUAUGUAGUUAUCGACGAGCCUUUCUCAAAAAAAUUCAAUCAGGGCACCUUUUAAAAGUGCCUUGACUUCUCCAGGCACUCCAGUGUCAAAUAUGAUAAAAAAGGACAGUGUAUAGGCAAAGGGGGUAGAAGAAGAUGAUCCACCACCUCGGUAUAGCCUAAAUCCUAAUGCCCUGUUUAUUUAGAAGAGACAGUAAUGAACUGUGAAUAAUAAUAAUAAUCUUGACCCACAAGACACAAGUUUACAAAGUUCUUAAGAAACUUGUCCACACUUAUCCAGGUAGGCUAUUGACAAUGGGUACUUGAGACCUGGGCUGCAGAGUCGGAAUCGGUGCUUUUUUUUUAGUGAAGUUAGAAAAUUUGACCCGAUUUCGGCUACAAACAUUAUUAUAAUUUAUGUAAAUAAAACUUAUUUAUAAUC